UACGUAGGGUGCGAGCGUUGUCCGGAAUUAUUGGGCGUAAAGAGCUUGUAGGCGGUUUGUCGCGUCUUCCGUGAAAGCCCAGGGCUUAACCCUGGGUCUGCGGUGGGUACGGGCAGACUAGAGUGUGGUAGGGGAGACUGGAAUUCCUGGUGUAGCGGUGAAAUGCGCAGAUAUCAGGAGGAACACCGAUGGCGAAGGCAGGUCUCUGGGCCACUACUGACGCUCAGGAGCGAAAGCGUGGGGAGCGAUCCGG
rnacentral:rRNA from 1 species